rnacentral:rRNA from 1 species
UACAGAGGUCCCAAGCGUUGUUCGGAUUCACUGGCGUAAAGGGUGCGUAGGUGGUGUAGGUAAGUCGGAUGUGAAAUCUCCGGGACCUCAACCCGGGAAAUGGCAUUGGAAACUACCUUGCUGGAGGAUUUGAGGGGGAUUGGAAUGACUUGGUGUAGCAGUGAAAUGCGUAGAUAUCAAGUGGAACACCAGUGGCGAAGGCGAAUCCCUGGAAAUACC